rnacentral:rRNA from 1 species
CAGCGCCACGAGUGGGGAUCCUGUUUAUUUGGCCUAAAGCGUCCGUAGCUGGUUUAGUAAAUCUCUUGUGAAAUCGUUAGGCUUAACUUAACGGCAUGCAGGAGAGACUGCUAGACUAGGGACCGGGAGGAGUCAGAGGUAUGUUGGGGGGAGCGGUAAAAUGCUAUAAUCCUCAGUAGACCACCUAUGGCGAAGGCAUCUGACUAGAACGGGUCCGACAGUGAGGGACGAAAGCCAGGGGAGCAAACCGGAUUAGAUACCCGAGUAGUCC